AAAGUUUGUUUCUUGCGACCAUCGUCGACUGCCACCUGCUUGAAAAAUCUAUGAGAAAUGAGUAAAAGUUGUUUUUUCCUCUACAAGCAAGGAAAUAAUCAAUUGAAGUUUGACAGAAAUAAUGAACUUUACGUUGAAUGGGGCCAUUUUGUAGGAAAUUUGGGAAAUUUCGAAACACAUCGGCUGUCAUCUGCGACGAUCACCGAUGUAUGAGAACUUUCGUGCAUUCGCGCUCGGCGAGUAUCGGCGAUAAGCGUCGCCGAUCGUCGGUGACAGUUUGCGAUGAAUGAGAACUAGGCUUUAGCGAUUUUAGU